GACCUCAAAUCAGGUAGGAUUACCCGCUGAACUUAAGCAUAUCAAUAAGCC
rnacentral:rRNA from 1 species